GAUCUGAGAGCAGCUUUGGUGUCUAUUAUGACCUCUGGCGCUUGAAAGAUCUGAUCUGAGACCAGCAAUAUUAACGGCCGAGUUCCGGUUUCUCUUUGGUCACAUUUUGUAAACUUGCAGGAUCGGUAAAAGAUGUCACUAAGGGUUAUGUUUUACCAUCUGGGCUGCAAACGGUUUGGCGGUUAUGAUAAAGUCUUACAAAGCGUCAGAUUAUUCCACAGACUCAUACGAAGAGACCUCGAACCGAUGCGCAUGCUGUCACCGUCGCCGACAAGCGUCUGCUGCCGAGUGAAUGUGAGGCAGUGGCACUCCUGCCUAGCAACACGAUAUCAACAUCUGCAAAGUGCCAAGUGGUUUUCCACGCUACCCCCACCGCCUUCGUCGCGGGACAAAUCCAAAAAGACUGGGCCCGUCACGUGGAAAUCUUUAGCAGUAACUUUUGCCAUCGGGGGAGCUCUGCUCGGUGGGAUGAAAUACUUCAAGAGUGAAAAAGAAGAACUGAUGGAAAAAGAGCGGAACAAGUCGAUGGGGCGACCGGCACUUGGAGGACCAUUUUCACUGGUGGACCACAAGAGGAACUCGGUGAGCAGCGAUGACUUCUUGGGCCAGUGGGUGCUGAUCUACUUCGGCUUCACGCACUGUCCUGACAUCUGCCCCGAUGAGCUGGAGAAAAUGAUGGAAGUGGUGGACGAAAUUGACAAAAUCAAGUCCCUGCCCAAGCUGACGCCCAUCCUCAUCACCAUUGACCCUGACAGGGACACCCCGGAGGCCAUGGGGGCCUACGUCAAAGAGUUUUCUCCGAAGUUGAUAGGCCUGACGGGGACGAGGGCUCAAGUGGAGCAAGUGUCGAGAGCUUACCGAGUUUACUACAGUCAAGGACCCAAAGAUGAAGACAAUGACUACAUCGUGGACCACACCAUCAUCAUGUACCUGGUCGGACCUGACGGACACUUUGUGGACUAUUUUGGUCAGAACAAAAGAAACACGGAGAUCUCCAACGCCAUCGCAGCUCACAUGAGGAAGUACAAGACGGAGAAGUGAUUGGACACCAAACGAGACAAAUAAAUGAUAAACGAGAAUGAAAAGAUCCACCAGCCCACCUGGCUCUUCUUCACCUUCGAGGCUCAAAACUCCACCAGGAAUAUGCCCACCUGGCUCUUCAUCACCAUCGAUGUCCAUCACUGCACCAGGGUUGCCAUUGAGGUUCUUCAGACCACAUAGAGCCACCGACGCAAGAAGACAUUCUCCAUCAUAUUCCACCACUCCAUCAUCAGUAUCCAACCAUCCAUGUUCUUCACCAUCAAAGAACAAGGUCUGACCAAGUUUGUGUUCUACUCCUUCAAGGUUUUUUGCACUAUCAAGAAGCUCCACAUCAUGACCAUCGAGCCAUCUGCCACCCACGGCCGCACAAGUUUUAUCUUCAAGGUCGAGUUCCUCCACUCCGCGGGGCUCCUCGUCUCCGUAGCCUUCAUCACUGCCUCUGACGGCGAUGUAGUCGUCGACGGGCGCAACGGCCAUGUGGGCGAGAGUGGUCUCCUUGUAGGCGCAGUCAUCAAUCAGGUCCUCCAGGCUCUGGUCCAGCAUUUCAAAAACCAGAUACGGGUAGUCCUGGAAAACGAAGUGUUCAAUGAACCUCACCAAGCUGUUCCUGUUCUUGUCCAGGAAGCGGAUCUUCUGCAGCGCUUGCACCUCCUGGUGGAAGUUGUUCAUGUUGCAUCUUUUCAUGAGCUUGACAGCCACGCGGUCCGACGUGUUCAGGUUGAAGCACUUGGCCACAAUUCCGUAGCGUCCCUCUCCCAGCACACUCAGAACCUUGUAGCUGUAGCACUUGCUGGAGAAGACCUCAUCAUAAACCUGCUGAGGGCUGUCACACUCUUUAUGUUCUGUGGACAUGUCUGACAUUUUGGCGUAAGUCUCUUUCUUGUGCCUCCCAAACAUGACCAAAUAAUAAUAAUAAUAUUCAUU